UUUCGGUUCGAGCAAAAUAGCUCGCCCUCCAAAGACCCGGGAAAUGCAAGUGGCGUCAGGCUUCCCCUUCUUCCCCCGAUCUUGGACCUUAGAAACCCUAGAUGGAGACCACUGUGAGAAAGUCGGCGGGGAUGUUGGGGAUCGGCCUCCCGGGAGCUGGCGGUGAUGGGCCGAAACCUCGCCCUUGUCAUCGCCGAGAACGGCUUCCUCAUAUCUGUCGACAACCGCAACCGCCAACAAGGUUGUCUAAACCAUCGCCACCUGAGGGGCUCCUUACGUCAUCAUCCUCGUCGAGACCGGUGCCCUCAUCGACCAGACAGUCGCCGAUCUAUCCCGCUUCAUGGAUCUCGGCAACAUCUUCGCCGACGGCGGCAACGGGUGGUACGAGUACCAUAAGCGCCUUAUUAACAAGGCCGUCUCCUAUUCCCGGGAACUUGUUCACGGCAAAGAGAGAGGAGAAGAGGUUGUGGGUCUGUGUAAGCCUCCUUGUAUUGGGUCAUCCGAGCAGCAAAUAUCAUUUUUAGCUAUUGAAGUACAUGCAAUGCAACUGGGUGAGACUGUUGAGCACAAGUUCAAUUCAUCGGUUGAUGAGAAAUCUGGUCCUAGAAUAUUCUGGAUUUGCCAUAUUUCUUCCAUGGUGAACUGGCAAUGAUGCUGCCAGCAUAUGACAUAUGAAUUCAACGUGAUGGAUCUUCAUAGGAUGGCUCAUCUAAUGGGGGCACUUUAUCCUGUUAUGGUCCUGCUCCUGAUUCACCUAUCCCUUUAUCCUGGACACGUGGUUCAGUCUCGCCUCCUCCCAUCUUUUUAAUGCUGGCUAAAAAUCAUUGUCUACGACCAAAGCUACCCAACUGAAAGAAAUGGAGAUGCAUAGCCCUUUGAGAUGAAAGUGAUGGCCAUGCAUUUGGGCUUCAUUUUAGGUGGUCCUGACUUUUGUUGGAGCUGCUUCAUUCCCUUUUUCAAUGUAACACGUGUACCCCCGACGAAUGGAAGAUCAGAUCACUAGUGACCAGCGGACCCCAGUGGUCUCAUCCUCUCAAAAAGAUAUCCACUACUCCAUUGUCAAUUUCAGUAUCUUUGUACAUAUUCUUAUCCUUGCAUAUCUGGCCUCAGGUACUUGUGUGAUGCACGCCAGAGCAAUUUUAUUUUCUACUUGGCUGCAUUCGGUGAAUUUAUUCUUCUGUUAAAUUAGCUGAUCGAGUGUACCAUCUUGAAUGAUUAAAGUGACUCUUCUUUCCAUCGUUCUGAUCUCUUAUAGUUCAGAUUCCUUAUUCUACUGAUGCUACACCUUGCUGGUUGGAGGAGAAACUUAGGUGGUACUGCCUUCAGCCACUUUCUUCAAUUAGCAUGAGUGGGCUCCCUUUUGCUUGGAUGCGGAUGACGUCAACACGCACUCUCAGAACCUUGACGUCCUUCACAACCGCAGAAAAGAUCUGCUGUAGUUAAAUUGUUGUAUGGCAAUCAUAGCUCCCUCCUUUCCAGUCUGUCGAAAAACCUUCGAUCAGCCACCCCUUCAGAUCUUAACCGUUCCAUCGUUAUCAGCUUUAGGCCUUUGCCUCUGUCAGUAAUUGAUGAUUUCUUUAUGUGCUCUCCACCAGUUUUAAAUGUCAUUUUCUUUGAGCCAAUGAUUUGAGUUCCUGGCAACAAAAAACAAAAACAAAAACAAAAAACAAAAAACAAAAGAGCCUUCUCAUUCUCCCUCUGGUCCACAUCAGAGGAGGAGGGUAUAUGAGAUAUGGAGGUUUCAGCAG